GCUGCCGCCUCCCGCCCUUCGCCCGCGCUCUGCAAGGCCCUGGUCACGCCUCCUUCCCAGGCUGGGGGUGCCCAGGCGCGCAGCGUGCCCCGGCCUGGGCCCAUGGGGCCUGGCUGCCGUGUCCCCGCCCCGCGCCCCGGAGCCCGCGGGCGUCGCUGGCUUGGGUUGCCCCGGCGUUGCGACCUCUUGUGCCGCGGCUCGGGAUGGUUGGCGUUUUUCUGAAAGCCUCGGCUCCGGGAGUCCUGUGAUUAUGUGAGAAUCUUGGCUUUUCGUUUCUCUUCAAAAACAUUUGGUGUUGAACUCAUGGGAUCUGGAUUUCUGUCCUGUCAUGUGAUGGUCGGCGGAUGGUGAAAGGACCAGGCUACAUUGAUGUGUUAAGGUAUCACUGGCAGCUGGUUCAUAGCUGCAAAUGUUUCAAGCCUCCCUCUUCUGUCCCAAAAGCUAUCGCAGAUAAGCCGGCGAAAAAAACGCAUGCUCAAUGAAACGUUCUCUGAGCUCAUGCAGUCGUCCGGCACUGACAGAGCUCAGCAGAAUGUGUGGAGGGACACAGUAGCACAGUACAGGAAAGCGGCCGAUGAACAUGAGGACAGGAGGGACGUUUGAGAUAAGAGGUGGCGUCAGGAAGAUCAGAGGAGGCAUGAGGCAACGCUGAGGCUACUGCGGGAUGAAACGGACAUGCUCCGGCAUCUGGUAGAGGUUCAGGAACGGCAGCAGGAUCACACACUGCCGCUGCAGCCCCUGUUUAACCGCCCUCCCUCCUCCCCAAGUUCCAUAGCCUCCUCACCCAGACGCCCAAGAACGUGGGGGAAGAGGGGAGGAUCCAGGCACCCAACCACUCCACCCCAGUGGAUAACCCAAGCAACAGAAGGCUGUCAUUCAACAAGUUUUGAAAUGGCCUUUUCCUUCCUUCCUACUCUCCUCCCACAUCCCACCUGGGCUACCUUGUGAGUUAUCUCCCUAUUUUUAUAAUCAAUUAAUAAAGAAUACAUGUUUUUUAAA